CCUACGGGUGGCUGCAGUGAGGAAUAUUGGUCAAUGGACGGGAGUCUGAACCAGCCAAGUAGCGUGAAGGAUGACUGCCCUAUGGGUUGUAAACUUCUUUUAUAUGGGAAUAAAACGUUCCACGUGUGGGAUUUUGUAUGUACCAUAUGAAUAAGGAUCGGCUAACUCCGUGCCAGCAGCCGCGGUAAUACGGAGGAUCCGAGCGUUAUCCGGAUUUAUUGGGUUUAAAGGGAGCGUAGGUGGAUUGUUAAGUCAGUUGUGAAAGUUUGCGGCUCAACCGUAAAAUUGCAGUUGAAACUGGCAGUCUUGAGUACAGUAGAGGUGGGCGGAAUGCGUGGUGUAGCGGUGAAAUGCUUAGAUAUCACGAAGAACUCCGAGUGCGAAGGCAGUUCACUGGACUGCAACUGACACUGAGGCUCGAAAGUGUGGGUAUCAAACAGGAUUAGAUACCCUGGUAGUC
rnacentral:rRNA from 1 species